UAAAGCGUCUGUAGCCGGAUGUAUAAGUCUGUCUUUAAAUACUCUGAUUCAAUCGGAGAAAAGGGAUAGAUACUGUACAUCUAGAGGAUUUUAGAGGUUAGUGGAAUUUCCGGUGGAGCGGUGAAAUGCGUUGAUAUCGGAAGGAAUGCCGAAAGCGAAAGCAGCUAACUAUAAAAUAUCUGACGGUCAGAGACGACAGCUUGGGGAGCGAACGGGAUUAGAUACCCCGGUAGUCCAAGCCGUAAAUGAUGCUUGCUAGAUGUUUGUCUCGCUAUGCGGGAUGAGUGUCGUACCUAACGGGUUAAGCAAGCCGCCUGGGAAGUAUACUCGCAAGAGUGAAACUCAAAGGGAUAGGCGGGGGAACACACAAGCAGUGGAUUAUCUAGAUUAAUUGGAUAAUAAGCCAAGAAUCUUACCUAGACUUGACAUACAUUGUGUCAUAUAAGAAAUUAUGUUAUUCCUAGCAAUAGGAAGCUAUGUACAGGUGGUGCAUGGUCGUCGUCAGCUCGUGCCGCAAGGUGUCUAGUUAAGUCUAGUAACGAGCGCAACCCUCGUCGUAUGUUAGAAUGUCAUACGAGACUGCUUCGGUAACGAAGAGGAAGGAGAGGAUGAUGUCAGAUCCUCAUGCCCCUUAUGUCUAGGGCGUCAUAGAUAAUACAAUGGGUAGGACAGCGUGAAGCAAUAUCGUGAGAUGGAGCAAAACAUUAAACCUAUCCUCAGUUCGGAUUGUAGUCUGGAACUCGACUACAUGAAGUUGGAAUUGC
rnacentral:rRNA from 1 species